UACAGAGGUCUCAAGCGUUGUUCGGAUUCAUUGGGCGUAAAGGGUGCGUAGGCGGCGGGGUAAGUCGGGUGUGAAAUCUCAGAGCUCAACUCUGAAAUGGCACUUGAUACUGCUCUGCUAGAGGACUGGAGAGGAGAUUGGAAUUCACGGUGUAGCGGUGAAAUGCGCAGAUAUCAGGAAGAACACCCGUGGCUAAGGCGGCUCUCUAGUACGGUACUGACGCUGAGACGCGAAAGCGUGGGGAGCGAACAGG
rnacentral:rRNA from 1 species